GGAAUUAAAAGCAAAAAUGAACUAUUGGGACCUCAUGAAGAUAAAAAUGAAGGGAAUAUGGAUAUAACUAGUUCUUCACUUGCUUCUAGUACUGGUAAGAGAAAAUGUGGCUGCUUUCUACAAGAGGGCCCCAAUUCAGUUUUGGAGCCUUGACCAAGAGAUUUGUGAAGGUCAGAAGGAAGCCCAUUGGUGAAGGCAUAUGAUAAAAGAAAAAGGAGGAAGAUACAAGGAGAAUUUACUCUAAAUGGAAGAAGAUCUGCAGGUCUCAGUGGGGGGCUUCAGAAUAGAGAAACACAGUAGGAAGCAAAAACGUGAAGGUGUUGAACCUCCGUUUCUUACUGUAAGGUAGUGCAGCUCAACGUGCUACCCACAGACAGGGAUUUGCCUGUGAAUCGUUUAUAGCUGACCUGUGAUGAACUAUAUACAGAGGAGAAUAAGGGUGUAGAAACUUUAACAAUUUGACAGGCCAACUUUAAGUCUAUUCAAUCUAAUAAAAAAUUGGGACUUUUAUUUUGUGUAUCUUUUUUUUUCCUUUUUUUAAAUUUCACUUAGUAGUUACUAUUAUUCUUUUGCAUUUUAUAAAAGUAUUGGUCCCAGAUAGGUUGGGGGAGGAAGGGCACCUUCACUGCGGGGAGUUUGAGAAGGCAUGUUGUAGGUUGUGGAGAUGGUAGUUGGGGAGGUUUUACUCCAAGUGCUUGGUUUGGGCAGUGGGAAUGAUGCGUGCACAGGCCAGGAGCAGGUGGGAUCUCAUCUUAGCGCCUGAAGAAAAGGGGCAUGACUGAGACAGAGUCUUGUGACUCUGGGGAGUUGUGGGUUGGAGGAUGGUGUUUGGACACAGGGUGCCCACACUCGAGUGAGGCCCAGUCCCAGUGUUUAGUAGGAAUUUGCAUAUCGCCCUGCUGGGGACUUUGAGGCUGGUCAGGGGCUUCCUGCAGCCUGAGUAGGGGCUGUGGGACCAUCACCAGUAGUGUCGUCUUUGGCUCACAGGACACGAAUAGGGUUAUGUCAUCUUCUGUGCUCUGAGCUUGCUUUUCAUCCUUUAUUGGUCUCUGUUCUUUCCCACCUCGACUCUGCCUAGACAGACGUAUUGCACAAACCUUAAUGUUGAUUUUUCCCUGUUUACUGAACCUUUCUUUAAAAUUCUUCUAACAUGUGGGCAUCUGGGUGGUUCAGUCAGUUAA